CUAUGCCAUCAGAGUUUUAGCUCUAACAAAUACUAGCAAACUGAGAAGGCUUUGAGUAUGGGCUUGGAAUUAUCUCUCCCUCCCAUCUCUGAAGACAUCAACAUAUUUCUAGACUCUCUCCUCAUUAAAAAAACAACAACUUCUUUCUUAGAAUUGAUACUAGGUAUUAAGGCAUAAGAGCAGUAAGGGCUAGGCAAUCAGGGUUAAGUAGGAAGUGUCUGAGAUCAAAUUCGAACCCAGAACUUCCCUUCUCCAGGGUUGACUAUCCACUGAGCCACCUAGCUGCCUUCCCUUCUUUCUUGAGGGGAAAGCUGUAGCUGUGGUUUAGUUUAUAAUUAGUAAUAAAUUCCAGUUCAAUUAGGAAUCCCCAGAUUACUCUGAAACUCCUAUAGAAGGGGGCUCCUAUCCCAUUAAUGACCUGGAAAGACUCCUCCCAUUUCAAAUUUAAGAAAGGAGUUCAAUUUCCUUUUUGAACUUUUCUGUCUCUAAACAGGUUCUUGGAUUCAUGAGAUAGAAGGCAUCUUGGGAUGCAGGACACAUAGGAUCACCACCUUAUCACUUGCCUGGAUCUCAGUUGAACCCUUAGUAUCCUCAAAAGAUAGGAAUAUUGACUUCCUAGAAGCUGUGAGGAUGCUUGAGAUCAUGUAAGGCCCUGGAAGUUCCCUGAAUGUGGGAUGGUCACUGGAGAUCUGGGCAUACAUUCCUCCUCUUCAGUCAGGCACCAGGAUCUAUUAUCCUAAAUCCUACUCAUUCCAAGAAGUCUUCUUUAAUUAUUGGCAGUGGAGAGUGCAUGCUGACCUUUAGAAGAGACCAUUUUUCAAAAAGGAAGGCAAUGUGAAGUCAAAAAAAGUAAGAGAAGGGAAGGGAAGGGAAGGGAAGGGAAGGGAAGGGAAGGGAAGGGAAGGGAAGGGAAGGGAAGGGAAGGGAAGGGAAGGGAAGGGAAGGGAAGGGAAGGGAAGGGAAGGGAAGGGAAGGGAAGGGAAGGGAAGGGAAGGGAAGGGAAGGGAAGGGAAGGGAAGGGAAGGGAAGGGAAGGGAAGGGAAGGGAAGGGAAGGGAAGGGAAGGGAAGGGAAGGGAAGAAGAGAAAAGUUCUCAUAUAACAUUGCUUUCUGAGGAGGUGACUCUGGAGAGCCCAGGAACCCUAUUGCUGGUAUAACUUAAGGUCAUCUAAUCAAUUGUAUCCACUUAUAAAGAUAUCAGCUAGGUGGUGCAGAGGAUAGAGCACUAGGGUUGGAAUCAGGGAGACAUGAAUUUAAAUGUGACCUCUGAUACUUCCUAGCUGUGUGACCCUGGGCAAAUCACUUAACUCUGUUGGCUUCAGUUUCCUCAUCUAU
rnacentral:lncRNA from 1 species